GCUAAUUCUCUUCUUGGAACAACUAGACCAAACUAAACUUGUCGUUGAUGCCUUUGGCUUCUUUAAUGUUGGACGAAAACUUCUAUUUAAGGGAUUCUGCCAAGUAACUACAUUUGUUGUUCUCUUCAUUCAGCUGAACAAAAUUCGAAAUGCUUAACAACUUGGAUCCAAUCCCUUCAUUGUACAUUGAAUUGGGUAAACAAUUGAGUAUGUAUUAUAUUAUAUCUAUAGUUUGUAAAAUUACUAACAAAAUAAAAAUGAAUUUUAGUAUUUUA